rnacentral:tRNA from 1 species
ACGGGUGUGGCGGAACUGGCAGACGCACUAGACUUAGGAUCUAGCGCCUUCGGGCGUGGGGGUUCGACUCCUUCACCCGCACCA